rnacentral:lncRNA from 1 species
GUGGCUUCUGGAGUCUUCUAGAUGAAGUAAAAUUGCGCGGUGCGUUGAUAUCUCUAUGUAAUCCCGACAUGUGGGCCUUUCUUCCUUAUUUCCUGAUAACCCCCUGCAGAAAUAGAUAAACAACAAAACUCGUGGAAUUCUGUCAGAUCAAACCCUAAUUCUAGGUGAUGGUUGCAUAUUGGUCCAUUCUCUUGUUUAUUUGAUAAUUAAAAUUGAUACUUAAGAACCGUCAACAAAUACCCCCAUACUUAGGCUUUUACUCGUCCUCGAGAAAAGGAUGGUUAAGAACAAUAUCUGGGGUAAACAUUUAAAACAUUCUCUUUAUAUAAUUGUAGGGUGUUAAAAUUCCACUAUGUACCAUAGUCAGGGAAGUUUAUGAUUAAGAGUAAAGAUCCUUUCUUCUCGAUCCUGUCACUUGGAGUUUUUGUAUAUUUUUGAAAGAAAGUUAGCAUACCUUUUUAUCCUCAUAGGUUCUCUCAGAUCACUCAUUAUCUUUUAUAUAUAUCUCACUGAGGCUGUUUUAUUUUGCAAAAAUUCUCAAGCAUACUUACUUUGCAUUUAUUGCCUGAUCAAAACGGAAUCCGAGGAGGGGAAUGUCAUACUCUUAGAUCAAAGACUUUGAAAAUUAAAAACUUUGUCAACUCUUGCUGGCAUAUUGCUUAUUAGAGGGACCAUGGGCUAUCAUUUUUUUAAGUGGAUACCG